rnacentral:rRNA from 1 species
AGAGUUUGAUCAUGGCUCAGAACGAACGCUGGCGGCGUGGAUAAGACAUGCAAGUCGGACGAGAUUUUUCGUUGUAGCAAUACGAUGGAAAGUCUAGUGGCGAACGGGUGCUUAACACGUGGGCAAUCUGUCUUAAAGUGGGGGGAUAGCUCGGCGAAAGCCGAAUUAAUACCGCAUGUGAUUAGAGUGGACAUCCAUUCGAAAUUAAAGUCGGGGCAACCUGACGCUUUUUGAGGAGCCCGCGGCCUAUCAGCUUGUUGGUGAGGUAACGGCUCACCAAGGCUUUGACGGGUAGCUGGUCUGAGAGGACGACCAGCCACACUGGGACUGAGACACGGCCCAGACACCUACGGGUGGCAGCAGUCGAGAAUUUUUCUCAAUGGGGGAAACCCUGAAGGAGCGACGCCGCGUGGAGGAUGAAGGUCUUCGGAUUGUAAACUCCUGUCAUUGGGGAACAAGUCGCUUACGUUAACUGCGUGAGCGUUGAUAGUACCCGAAGAGGAAGAGACGGCUAACUCUGUGCCAGCAGCCGCGGUAAUACAGAGGUCUCAAGCGUUGUUCGGAUUCAUUGGGCGUAAAGGGUGCGUAGGCGGCGCGGUAAGUCGGGUGUGAAAUCUUGGAGCUUAACUCCGAAACUGCAUUCGAUACUGCCGUGCUUGAGGACUGGAGAGGAGACUGGAAUUUACGGUGUAGCGGUGAAAUGCGUAGAUAUCGUAAGGAAGACCAGUGGCGAAGGCGGGUCUCUGGACAGUUUCUGACGCUGAGGCACGAAGGUCAGGGGAGCAAACGGGAUUAGAUACCCUAGUAGUCC